rnacentral:rRNA from 1 species
GUGUCAGCCGCCGCGGUAAUACGGAGGGUGCGAGCGUUGUCCGGAAUCACUGGGCGUAAAGGGCGCGUAGGCGGCCCGUUAAGCGUGUGGUGAAAGCCCGGGGCUCAACUCCGGGUCGGCCAUGCGAACUGGCGGGCUCGAGCACUGUAGAGGCAGGUGGAAUUCCGGGUGUAGCGGUGGAAUGCGUAGAGAUCCGGAAGAACACCGGUGGCGAAGGCGGCCUGCUGGGCAGUAGCUGACGCUGAGGCGCGACAGCGUGGGGAGCAAACAGGAUUAGAAACCCUAGUAGUCC